rnacentral:rRNA from 1 species
UAAGGAAUAUUGGUCAAUGGAGGCAACUCUGAACCAGCCAUGCCGCGUGCAGGAAGACGGCCCUCUGGGUUGUAAACUGCUUUUAUUCGGGAAUAAACCUAUCUACGUGUAGAUAGCUGAAUGUACCGAAGGAAUAAGGAUCGGCUAACUCCGUGCCAGCAGCCGCGGUAAUACGGAGGAUCCAAGCGUUAUCCGGAUUUAUUGGGUUUAAAGGGUGCGUAGGCGGCCUAUUAAGUCAGGGGUGAAAGACGGUAGCUCAACUAUCGCAGUGCCCUUGAUACUGAUGGACUUGAAUGAACUAGAGGUAGGCGGAAUGUGACAAGUAGCGGUGAAAUGCAUAGAUAUGUCACAGAACACCGAUUGCGAAGGCAGCUUACUAUGGUUUUAUUGACGCUGAGGCACGAAAGCGUGGGGAGCAAACA